rnacentral:lncRNA from 1 species
GCAUCAGUCGAGAUGGCAAGCUUCCCCCACACAGUUACCUUGUGAGAGUGCCUGUACAAUGAAAGAAACAUGAUAUUAAAAAGUAAUAAAUUUGAUUACAUAGGACAUAUCACAUGAUUGACAAAAUAAGUUAUGUUAUACUACUUAUACCUUCCACCAGUUAUUCGGAACCUUACUAUGUUCCUGUCGCCGUACAUGGUUUUGAUAACAGUCACACGCUCAAAAUCUUCAACAGCUCCAAUAACAUCUAAAUGUAAGACAAAUUAAUUUAGAUAAAAAAACAAUAUAUAAUGUCAUUUGAAAUCAUAUACAAAACUUGUUUGGUGAAAAAUAUAUUAAGGACUAAUUACCUGCUGAAUAUUCAGGAUUCUCAGGGUCUGCAUAAGAGUUUGCGAUAGUGAAUAGCUCGCUCAAGUCAACAAACUCAAAUUUGUGAAAGGGAAUCAUGAAAUCAUCUUCUUUGAUUUUCUCCACCGAAGUUGAAGGAGAAAAGUUGAUAAUGAUUUUGGAGGAUACCGGCCUCAACGUUCCCAACGCCUCUUUGGUAAAAAAG